rnacentral:lncRNA from 1 species
ACAAACUGCAGAGGGUGCUGUGUUCUUAUGUAUAUUGAAAUAUACUAAAUAUAAAAAUACAAAAAUAAAUGUACAGAUUACUUAUAAAAUCGUAGAAAAAAGAUUUAACUAAAUAUAAGUUCACUGCUUAGCAGCCAAAUCCUCAUAAGUACAAAUGUAAUUCAUUAGAGAAAAGAUGAACAGAUGCUCCAUUGUUUGAAUCUGUUUGCAAUCACAAGUCAGAGGCAGAAGAAUUCAGAUUUGCUGCACAUCUUUCCACGUGUGCAGUCUAUUAGCAUUUUCCAUAAAGGAGCAGUCCAAAUCAAAGCCCAGUGCUUGGGAUCCUGUAGUCUUGUGAGUCUAUCUCAGCCAGCCUAUUUUGUCAAAGCCUCUUUCUUUCUAUCUGACUCUCCCAAAGUGGUAUAAUCAUUACAUGAAGCUCCUUUGGGUUUUGAGUCUUUGGAGUGAAUAGGUUGUCCAUAUAAUGGAUAACCAGAGUGUCUUCCAUCUGCUUUCUGCUUUCUUCACUGGCACAUUUCUAUGAGGAGGUGCAAUUCCAGCAAGUCAAUAGAAGCUAUUGAGUUUUGUGGGUUUAAGGCAGCCUGUAAUAUAUUGGCUGUUCCAGUUUAAUAUCAUGUCCAGUUUUGGAGCAUGAAAAAAUCUUCACUAAGCAGGGCUGGCAUAUUUAGCAGGGGCAUAGAAAAGUGGAAGAACUGUUGUACAUAGAACGUGAGAACUACCCCAUUUUGAUAAUUGUAGCUUUUGCAGUAUGUUGUUGCAAUUGCUGAUCUUAGCUUUGUUUUUCAAUAUGUUUUUGUGCGUGUGUGGGUUUGUAAUCAAGGAUAAUCCUUAGAUAGAUUGGAUUAGAGUAAUGGCAAGCUUGCUACUGUCCAAAAACUAUAUGAAAUUUAUAGUUUGCCUCUGUUGUUUAAGUGAAACAAACAAGAAUGGAUUUUAUUAUGGUUAGACUGAAAUCUGUUUGCAAGGUAUUCUGAUAAUCUUAUGAGAGCUUCCAUUAAACUCUUUUCUUUUGAUUUGAAGGAUUUAACUGGUAUGACCACAGCCAAUUCAUCAGUGUAUACAAUCAAUUCCGCUUAAUUGGGGCAGCCGAUUAAUUGGGCUAAAUCUCAAAGAACAGAAAUUAAACUAAUAAACUAAU